UGUACUCCACUUUGAGCCUUCCGACCUCGCCCUCUAGAUUGGAUAAGUACAGGAGACCCAGCAGGAGCAGAUUGAACGCCAGGAGUAAUAACAGAAGCAGAAUUAGAUAGAAAGCCAGGUGUAACAACAGAUGCAGAAGUAGAUUGUGAUCCAGGAGUAACAACAGAAGCAGAAUUAGAUUGUAAGCCAGGAGUAACAACAGAAGCAGCAGUAGAUUGUGAGCUGGGUGUAACAGAAACUGAAGGGGUUGUAGGCUCAGAACAAGGAGCAAUCCCUAUACUAGCCUGAGGUGCAGCUAUAUUAGU
rnacentral:lncRNA from 1 species